rnacentral:rRNA from 1 species
UGAGGAAUAUUGGUCAAUGGGCGUGAGCCUGAACCAGCCAAGUAGCGUGCAGGAAGACGGCCCUAUGGGUUGUAAACUGCUUUUAUGCGGGGAUAAAGGAGUCCACGUGUGGAUUUUUGCAGGUACCGCAUGAAUAAGGACCGGCUAAUUCCGUGCCAGCAGCCGCGGUAAUACGGAAGGUCCGGGCGUUAUCCGGAUUUAUUGGGUUUAAAGGGAGCGUAGGCCGCGUUUUAAGCGUGUUGUGAAAUGUAGACGCCCAACGUCUGCAUCGCAGCGCGAACUGGGACGCUUGAGUACGAGCAACGUUGGCGGAAUUCGUCGUGUAGCGGUGAAAUGCUUAGAUAUGACGAGGAACUCCGAUUGCGAAGGCAGCUGACGGGAGCGGCACUGACGCUUAAGCUCGAAGGUGCGGGUAUCAAACAGG